ensembl:snoRNA
AUCCUUUUGUAGUUCAUAAGCGUGAUGAUUGGGUUUUCACGCGCAUGUGUGAGCUUGUUAUGAUGUUGGCAUAUUACCCGUCUGACG